rnacentral:lncRNA from 1 species
CAGCCCGUGGGGGAGAUGAGCCCAGCCAGCAGAGGCCCCAGAGCCGCACCUAUGGAGCCGGUGCCGUCAAUGAUGGCCGUGACCGUGGACAGGGCUUUGGCGUUGCCCUUCAGGCUCUUGUGAGUCCCCAGAUCAGCAGAGACAGCAGUGGUGAUGAGCGCGUAUGGGCCAUUGACCAGGCCCCCACAGAUGAUCAGCAUCACUAUGGAGCUGGCAAUCCCGUCCUGGCCAAUGUAGUUGUACAGGAACAUCAUGGGGGCAGCCAAGAUGAGCAUGACACAGC